rnacentral:rRNA from 1 species
UGAGGAAUUUUCCGCAAUGGGCGCAAGCCUGACGGAGCAACGCCGCGUGUGUGAUGAAGUCCUUCGGGAUGUAAAGCACUGUCCGAGGGGAUGAAUAAAUGACAGUACCCUCGAAGAAAGCCCCGGCUAACUACGUGCCAGCAGCCGCGGUAAUACGUAGGGGGCGAGCGUUAUCCGGAUUUACUGGGCGUAAAGCGCGUGUAGGUGGUUGCGCAAGUUGGUUGUGAAAUCUCCCGGCUCAACCGGGAAACUGCAGCCAAUACUGCGUGGCUAGAGUGGCAGAGAGGAAAGUGGAAUUCCCGGUGUAGUAGUGAAAUGCGUAGAUAUCGGGAGGAACACCAGCGGCGAAGGCGACUUUCUGGCUGCCAACUGACACUGAGACGCGAAAGCUAGGGGAGCGAACGG